UGGGACCUGCCAAAACCCACCUAUUUUUUGGAUGACCUCGGAUCAGGUAGGGAUACCCGC
rnacentral:rRNA from 1 species